CUGCUGCCUUCCGUAGGAGUUUGGGCCGUGUCUCAGUCCCAAUGUGGCCGGCCACCCUCUCAGGUCGGCUACUGAUCGUCGCCUUGGUGGGCCGUUACCCCGCCAACCAGCUAAUCAGACGCGGGUCCAUCUCAUACCACCGGAGUUUUUCACACCGGACCAUGCGGUCCUGUGCGCUUAUGCGGUAUUAGCAGUCAUUUCUAACUGUUAUCCCCCUGUAUGAGGCAGGUUACCCACGCGUUACUCACCCGUCCGCCGCUAA
rnacentral:rRNA from 1 species